GAUGUGUCUGCAGAAAGAAAAAAUUCAAAGAAGGAAUACAGUCAUGAAGGUAGAGAAACCUACUGGUCUCAGGGACAGCUGAUAUAUGAGAAAAAACUGCAACAUGAAUCACAUCUCCUGCAUUCCUUUCUUGUUCAUCCAGCUGUAGUCCUACUCUGCUGUGCCACCUUGUGCUCGCCAGCUGACAAUACACUGCUCCACGGAGAGAAGUCAUUCCUGCUUAAUCUGAGUGAAUGCUGAAGAACCCACUUGUAGAUAUGGAUGCAGCUCCCCUCUACGUAUUAUAUUGCAUGACAAAGUAACCAGGACAUUACAUCGAUGUUGAACCAAGACUUCUCUCUAGAAAUCCCACCAGAGGUGUCACAGCAGUCAGUGACGCCAGCCUCUCUAAGAAGUUAGGGCUUCCUGAGAACUUCAUGCCCUUGAAACCAUGUUUACAGAUAGAUGUUAACUAACACUCUUCUUAAAACAAAACAAAAAAAAGAUUUUGGAAGAAGUCGUGUCAUGACAAGAAGGUUUAAGAAAAACUGUGUAUUUCUGUCAUAUUUUGCCACGUGACAACUGGAAAUGUCACUAUAUUUUAAUACACAGAUAUAAGUAGAAUGAUCAUUCACUUGAGAAGUCAUUUUGAGAAGGUAUAAUUGUUUCUCAUUGCCAUAAU
rnacentral:lncRNA from 1 species